rfam:Schistocephalus solidus strain NST_G2 genome assembly, scaffold: SSLN_scaffold0013308
CCCUCUGAACGUAAGCAUAUCACUAAGCGGAGGAAACGAAACAAACCAGGAUUCCCCUAGUAAUGGCGAGUGAAGAGGGAAUAGCCAAGCACCAAAGCUUGCGGUAGGUUAACUGCUAGGAAAUGUGGUGUUUGGGUCAGCUGUCGGGAUUAACACUCAUCUCGAAGUCCAGCACUUAGUUGAGUUUCCUGGAUUGGGCCCAGAGAGGGUGAAAGGCCCGUGUGAUUGGAAAUGCAAACAUGUGAGGCAAUUCACCAGGUCGACCUUUUAGUCGGUUUGUCUGGGUGGUAAACUUCAUCGAAGGCUUAGUACAAGCACGAGUCCGAUAGCGAAAAAGUUACGUUAGGGAAAGUUGAAAAGAACUUUGAAGAGAGAGUAAACAGUACGUGAAACCGCAUAGAGGUAUAUGUGGGGAAAAGCUGCAAGCCUGCAGGAUUUAGUUUGUAUGUGUGUAUGCGCGCCUGGCCCGUCUGUCGGACGGAAAGCAUACUGCAAAAAAUGGGCCUGGUCUCCCCUCGGGUGGGACAGGAUUGGUGUUCCGGCAGGUUGCCGGAGCCGGCAGUUUUGUAUGUGUGCGCAUAUUAUGUGGAUAGACCGGCCAAUGCACUUCCUCUAUCGGGUGAGCACCACAACUGUCGGAACUGCCAAUCUGCCAUUUUCAAAUCUUUUAGGGUCGGUGGCGGCCAUGGGGUCGUCGGCUGAGGUUCGAUCAUCACAGGCUAUUUUAGUGAGUGGCGCGUGUAGGCAUUCUCGCAUGCACACGUGUUAUCGAGCACUGGUCAUCAAUUGGUCUGUGUUUCGGGUGUGUAUUUUCUGUUUUUGCAGACGCCGGCAGAUUUCCUUGUGGGCUACGGUGUUAUGAAUAACAAUGCGGGGCCCNAGUCAUCAAUUGGUCUGUGUUUCGGUUGUGUAUUUUCUGUUUUUGCAGACGCCGGCAGAUUUCCUUGUGGGCUACGGUGUUAUAAAUAACAAUGCGGGGCCCGAUGGUUGUCGUUAUUUAGUUUUUGGCUCGUCCACACACUGCAUGUGAACGUUGGGUGUUUGUGUGGGCUGCUAAUUGCUGGGUCUGAUCGUCAUGUUGCCUAGGCAAAGCGGGUCUGGUUGUGGUCUGGUGUUGGUUAGUCUUACUUGCGGUGCCUUCUGUUCGAGUCAGCGUGGGCCAAUUAGUCUGUGAUGUUGUGGAAGACGAGCCACCCGAAACCUUCUUGAAACGUUGAUUAAGGAGUUAAUCAUGCACACGAGUCAAUGCGUCACACGAAACACAAAGGUUCAGUGAAAGUGAAGUCUCGAAUUGUUCUCGGGAUGUGGUGUGAUGCCACUGUAUCUCGCACCUCUCCUUGCGCGCACAGCACCAGGCAGAAGAGCAGUGGUCAAAUAACCGGCCUGUCCCAUGACGAAGUCUUCGUUCUGUGGUCUGCGUUGGGGCCAGCGCGUCAUCGAGAAGGAGCAGGAGCGCGCACGAUAAGACCCGAACGUUGUUGAACUAUGUUACGUAGUUUGAAGCCAGAGGAAACUUUGGUGGAGGUGUGCUGCGAUUCUGACGUGCAAAGCGGUCGUCAAACUUGAGUAAAGGGGCGAAAGACUUAUCAAUCAUCAUAUAUCUGGUUCUCUCCAAAGAUUCCCACAAGAUAUCUGGCACUCAUUCACAAGAUCUGUUUUUUCCAGUAAAAAGAAUGACUUGAGGGUCUGGGUUUGAAACGAGCUCAAACUUUAUUUAACUUUAAAUUGGUGAGAUUCCCGGCUCGCUUAAGAGGAGUCGGGCGCUGAAUUAGCGAAAGCCAAAUGAGCCAAUUUUGGUGAGCAGAACUGGUGCUGUGGGAUGAACCAAACGCCCGGUUAAGGUGCCUAACGCUGACGCUCAUGAGAUACCACAAAAGGUGUUGGUUAAUAUAGACAGCAGGACGGUGGCCAUGGAAGUCGGCAUCCGCUAAGGAGUGUGUAACAACUCACCUGCCGAAUUGACCAGCCCUGAAAAUGGAUGGGGCCGGAGCGUUGGACCUAUACCGGGCCAUCAACGUAAGCUGGAUCACUUGUUAUGUUUUUGGUGAUGUGAGCAGCACAUGGCCGGUUGGGUGAACAACAAUCGGUCGCUGUCUUGCGAAGUCGUGAUCCAGGCAAGGAAGCGGUUUCAAUUAGGAUGGUCGCAGUGGUGAGCGUGGAAGCCUUGGACAUGAGUCUGGUUGGAAAUGCCGGGGGUACAGAUCUUGGUGCUGGAAGCAAAAUUUCAAGUGAGAAACUUGAAGGCCAGGUUGGAGAAGUGUUCUAAGGGAACAGAAGUUGGCCAUGAGUCAGGCAGUCCUUAGCGAUCCGGUGUCUCAGUAGAGAGACGUGGGUUGCCUUGCAUAUACUUCUGUCUGCGUGUGUAAGUGUGCGCGAGCGUGCAUUCGGCAGCCCACUGGUGCAAAAGGGGAUCAGGUUAAUAUUCCCGACCCUGCCCACGGAGAUAGGUAAGCGUUUGGCUGGGCCGUCAGUGUGCACGCUUUUUUGGCGUGUGCAGCUGUGUUCCGAGUCGCGGCGCUGCUAAGCGCGGUAACGCAACUGAACUCGAAGACAUCGGCUUGAGUUCCCGGAAGAGUUUUCUUUUCUUUGUAAGGAGCGCUCACCACCACUAAAAACGCGUUGUCCGGAGAUAUAGGUAUCGCCUCCGUAAAACACCACCCCUCUUGUGGUGUCUGUAAAACUCUGGUCGGUCCUUGAAAAUUUAAGGGAGGCAUUAUUAUUUGCAUGGCAGGCCGUACACAUAUCCGCAUCAGGUCUCGAAUGUGAACAGCCUCUGACA